rnacentral:rRNA from 1 species
UGGGUGGAUUAGUGGCGUAACGGGUGAGUAACACGUGAGUAACCUGCCCUUAACUCUGGGAUAAGCCUGGGAAACUGGGUCUAAUACCGGAUAGGAGCGCCUACCGCAUGGUGGGUGUUGGAAAGAUUUAUCGGUUUUGGAUGGACUCGCGGCCUAUCAGCUUGUUGGUGAGGUAAUGGCUCACCAAGGCGACGACGGGUAGCCGGCCUGAGAGGGUGACCGGCCACACUGGGACUGAGACACGGCCCAGACUCCUACGGGAGGCAGCAGUGGGGAAUAUUGCACAAUGGGCGCAAGCCUGAUGCAGCGACGCCGCGUGAGGGAUGACGGCCUUCGGGUUGUAAACCUCUUUCAGUAGGGAAGAAGCGAAAGUGACGGUACCUGCAGAAGAAGCACCGGCUAACUACGUGCCAGCAGCCGCGGUAAUACGUAGGGUGCGAGCGUUAUCCGGAAUUAUUGGGCGUAAAGAGCUCGUAGGCGGUUUGUCGCGUCUGUCGUGAAAGUCCGGGGCUUAACCCCGGAUCUGCGGUGGGUACGGGCAGACUAGAGUGCAGUAGGGGAGACUGGAAUUCCUGGUGUAGCGGUGGAAUGCGCAGAUAUCAGGAGGAACACCGAUGGCGAAGGCAGGUCUCUGGGCUGUAACUGACGCUGAGGAGCGAAAGCAUGGGGAGCGAACAGGAUUAGAUACCCUGGUAGUCCAUGCCGUAAACGUUGGGCACUAGGUGUGGGGGACCAUUCCACGGGUUUCCGCGCCGCAGCUAACGCAUUAAGUGCCCCGCCCUGGGGAGUACGGCCGCAAGGCUAAAACUCAAAGGAAUUUGACGGGGGCCCGCACAAGCGGCGGAGCAUGCGGAUAUUCGAUGCAACCGCGAGACCUUAACUAAGGCUUGACAUGUUCCU